AGUGAACGCUGGCGGUAGGCCUAACACAUGCAAGUCGAACGGCAGCACAGUAAGAGCUUGCUCUGACGGGUGGCGAGUGGCGGACGGGUGAGGAAUACAUCGGAAUCUACUUUUUCGUGGGGGAUAACGUAGGGAAACUUACGCUAAUACCGCAUACGACCUAAGGGGGAAAGCAGGGGAUCUUCGGACCUUGCGCGAGUGAAUGAGACGAUGUCGGAUUAGCUAGUUGGCGGGGUAAAGGCCCACCAAGGCGACGAUCCGUAGCUGGUCUGAGAGGAUGAUCAGCCACACUGGAACUGAGACACGGUCCAGACUCCUACGGGAGGCAGCAGUGGGGAAUAUUGGACAAUGGGCGCAAGCCUGAUCCAGCCAUACCGCGUGGGUGAAGAAGGCCUUCGGGUUGUAAAGCCCUUUUGUUGGGAACGAAAAGCAGCAGGUUAAUACCCCGCUGUUCUGACGGUACCCAAAGAAUAAGCACCGGCUAACUUCGUG
rnacentral:rRNA from 1 species